CCCUUAGACGUUCUGGGCCGCACGCGCGCUACACUGACGAAGGCAACGAGCUUUCCUUUACCGAAAGGUACGGGUAAUCUUUUGAAACUUCGUCGUGCUGGGGAUAGAUCCUUGCAAUUUUUGAUCUUAAACGAGGAAUUCCUAGUAAGCGCAAGUCAUCAGCUAAUGUUGAUUAUGUCCCUGCCCUUUGUACACACCGCCCGUCGCUACUACUGAUUGGGUGUUCAAGUGAGAUGCUUAGACCCUUGUUGCAUGGUUCAUUAUUGUGCUCCGAAAGGAAAAAGUUUCAAGCUCGAGUGUCUAGAGGAAGUAAAAGUCGUAACA
rnacentral:rRNA from 1 species